UAAGUUUCAGAAGUUUGAACUUGGAUUUCAUCGUCACAAGCUAUUUCCCAAGUCCCUUAAUUGAAAUAAUCAAAAGAUAGUUUAGUGCAUUUCUUGCCAUCUUGGUCACAGGUUUUUUUAAACUAGAAAAUUAAUUAAAGUUGGGUCGCUAUAUAUGAUUAUUAAAAACCAGGAACUGAAAAUGUCACAGUUGCCAGUAUAAUAAUAUUCUGGUUUACUAUAAUAAAGAAAAAUUGACAGUUCAUGUGUUAUUUGUAUACAUUACAUGCUUGAUACAUAAAAUUAUAUUCAAGUUCCUCAUUUCAGGUGGCAUCUAAAGGCAAUUUCAAUCCCCGUAUUAGACAGCUGCAGGAUGUUAUGACAAGACAGGACGGAGUGCCCGUGCACCUAAAGCGAGGGGCAGUGGAUCGAAUUCUCUACGUCUCUACGAUGUGCCUAUGUGGCGUGGCGCUCGGUGCAAUAGGCUACACACUCCUCGACAUGUCGUUCCCAAAGAAACCGGAGUAGCCACUGUCACAGCAGUCAUCAGGCAGGGGAGCGAAGCUGGAUGAUGAGUGACCGUGGAGUCCCCGUGCAUUUCUCUUCUCAUCUGAUUGUCACAGAUACGUCCCAUUGUACAAACAAUAUCGUCGGUUUCAAACUUGGUAAUGUAAUUUAAUUAUGCUAAGAAUGAUUAAUGAACCAGUAGAUUGUAUUUAAUAAUAGACUCUGGCAGCAAAUUAGACAUUAUGUAAUCUACUGUAUCGUGAUUGGUUUUCAUAUGCCACAAAUUUCAAAUGACGAACAAUAAUUCUGAAUGUUUCUUUUCAAUGCUGUAGUGUAUACAUUCACGCAUAGUAAACAUGAAAAGAAAUGCUCGUUUAAUAUAUAUCUAUAUCUAUGUAAUAACCUCGUGAUUUUUAUGGUGCUACUGUAUAAGCUCUACAAGCACAAUGACAAUGACAAUAAGCUAUACAAGUAACAAAGUAACAAUAGUCACAUUUAUGUUUACAUGUAGUACAAAAUUUUCGCCAUGUUUAGAAAACCGUAUGUCAUUUCUAUUCUAUUGGUUAACAGAGUAAAGAGGAACCAAGUUCUUGUACACAAUC